AAGAAAGAGGGAUCUGAUUUUGAGAGUAAGAGAGCUACGAGAGAGAAAGGGAAAGAGGAAGAAGAAGAAAAGAAAGGAGAGAAGGAUAAAGGAAGGAGAAGAGAAGUAGAGGAAAUAAGUUUAAAAGGUAAGAUUUAUGGUUUGAAGUGUAUAAUAUGUUAAAUUUCGGUUUUGAUUAAUUUUUGAGUUUUGAAGUUUGUGUUUUGAGUUUAUUGAUGAAUUAAUUUGAAGGUUAGGGGUUGAUUGUUGUGGGUAAUUGAUUAUUAAGUUGAAUUUGAGAGAUUGUAGAUAAAAAUGAUGAUUUUGAGUUAUGGUUUUGUUUGAAUGGUGAAUUUGUGUUAGAAAUCAGGGGAUAACAGUAGGUGAUCUGUUGAAAUUCUUGGUUUGAGGUUGAAGAUGACGAAAAUUCAAUUUGGUCCCUCAAUUUGCGAAAAUUACAGUUUAGUCCCCAAACUUUGGAAAAUUACAAAUUGGUCCCUAAAGCAUAUUCCGAGAUUCUGAACAGAAUAACAUAUAAAUUAUGAACAGAAUUACUGUAUAGAUAAGAGAAUUUAACACUUUCAAUUUAGUCCUCCAAUUUGACAAAAAGUACAAGUUGACCCUAAAAAUUUGGUAAAAUUCCAGAAUGAUCCCUGGAGCAUAAUGAUAUAUCCUGGACAGAAUUGAGGAUUAAUUAUGGUCAGAAUUUCAGUAUAUUCAUGGAUUUAUGAUAAAUUUCAGUUUGGUCCUCCAAUUAGACAAAAAUUACAAUUUGGCCCUAAAAGUAUAAUAAAUUACAGAUUAGUCCAUAACUGCUAGUUAGUUCAAAAACAUAUAGGUUUACGGUGUAAACCCCCGUAAAUAAAAAUAAAUAAUAAGAACAAUAAUAAAAAAAUAAAAAAUUAAAAAAUAAAAAAACAACACAUAAGAUCGAAGUAAUGACGUUUCGAUGAGUAAUGGAUAUUCGACAUGAAAGAAAUGAAUAAAUAGUAGGAAUGACAAUAAAUGUGUCAUGUGAGAGAGAGAAUGAUCUGCAUAAACAAAUUUAAAGAUAUUGUUGAAGUCGAAAAGAGAGUCAUGAUUUUUAGUUUAAAACUUGUAACGUUGGCGAAACCAGUGAUGAGGUUUCAAUGGAUAAAAGAAUAAGAAAAAAAAAAAUAGAAGAUAUGUAAACCCUAGUCAAAACACGUAUUUUGACAAAUUAAUGAUAAAUGUCGUAAUAUUGAAUUUAUUGAGUAUAAAUUAAGGGGAAAUAUCAUGAGGAUCUAAGUAAAUAAAUUAAUGCAUGAAAUUCAGAUUUUUGUGUAAAAGACACUAAUUGUCUAGUUUUACGAUAUCGAUGAUAUAUCUCAAUUUGACGUUGGAUCAGGUUGAAAUUUUGUAAGGAAUCUUCAGACAUAUUGUUUUAUAUUAGGUUUAAAUUUCGUGUCAAUCGGAGUUGGAAAAGAUUUACAAAGAGUACUGAAAAUCGGGUAAAUGAAAGAAGAUGACACAAGGAGCAUUUUUGUAAUUUUAUCAAAACAAAUACUCUCCUCUCCUCUCUUUAAAAACAGAGCACGUCCUUUGCAAAUGAAAAAGAAAACAGGAGGGAGACCAUUUGUUUUGUCCCAUUUUCUUCAUUUUCUCUUCAUUUCUUCAAGCUAAAUCAAAAGGGAGUGUUCUUAAGAGGAUUCUAUCCAAGAAAACAAAUUAAAUAACAACUUAGAGAGUUAUAGAGCUUGAGAGAAACAAAGACAAGAAGCUGGAAAUUGGAAGAGGAGGACAUGAUUUUUGUAAAUUUUUGCAAGAAUUCAUUGAAAUAAGUUAAAGUAGCAAAGGUAAGCAACAUACCCUUUAGUAAUUUCGUUUUUCUCUCUUGUUCUUGCAUGAGGAGAAGAAAACCCCCAAGUUUAAAAUUCUAGGGUUCAUAUAAAUAUUUUGGGGGAGUAAUUCUUCAUGUGAAUUUCGAGAUUAAUUGCAUGAUAAUGGCUUGAUUUGCUGAAAAAAUAGAAAGAAUCAAUUGAUUUGAAACUAUGGGUUUUGGGAUUUCAACAGGGCAGGCACUUCGGCAGCCAUAGUUUUCCUUUCCACCGUUAGAUUAAAUUGAUUUUUGGAUAUGUUAUUAUACUCAAUGUCACCUACAUUCUGACUGGAGGGAUUGUAAAUAUCAGACUUCGUUUGAGGGCUGUCAUCGGAGGAACAUUUCUGGAAAAUCACACUUCAAGACAGCCUUGUUCGUCAGAUGUUAUAUCAUCAUUUCACCGUUGGAUUGGUCUGGAUUUUGGAUAUGUUGUUCAUCAAGAUGUUAUAUAAAUUCUGAACGGUUUAGAUCGGAAAAGAACACUCCUACCAGAAAUUGUACUUCCUGAACAAUAGGUCUCUAAAUUUCAAGUCAGUCAGGUAUUGUUAUGAUAUUGGGAGUUUUAACCGUUGGAUGUAUGUUAAUUUUGGAUAUGUUAUUCUAAUGACGAUGAUGUAUAAUUCCACCAUUUCGAUGUAUUGAACUCUAAAAUUAAAUAAUGAUGUUUUAAGUUUGGUUUGAGAAAUAUUGAAUGAGAAUAUGAGGGUUAGCAUAAAAAGUAUGUUUUGGGACUAAGGAUAAUGGUAAUGGGUUUAAUGAUGAUGGUUGUGUUUGUGUUAUGUUUGAGUCAUGUUUGAUGUGUUGAUAAGUGAUGGUACAGUUAAAUUCUAUAAAGAAUAGUGAUUGACUAAUAUUUUGGUUGUGUUAGAAUGGGAAAUCAUGUUGUAAGUUGAAUUAUGAUAUAAGGAAUCAUUUUGAGUGUGCUUUUGGAAAAAUUUGGCAUGUGUAGUCAUUGAUGAAAUUUAAGUUAAAUUACAUUGUUUGGUGAUAGAUUAAAUGUCUUGGGACAAAAGAAAAUCGGUGACGAAAAGUCAUGCCCUUUGGACAUUGAAGAUCAUUGAUGAAGAAUUGAAUUAAAUGGGCGUUUAAUUUAAAUGACAAGUACGAAAAUAAAAUACAUUCAUGGAAAUUGUUUACGGAAGUAUUUGAUUUUGUGAAUUUAUGAAUAUUAUGAAUAAAUCAGGAAGAUUCAAUAAUGAUUCAGGAUGUUAUAUUAAAAAUGUAGGAGAAGCAUUCACUCGACUUCUUAGGAGCUCGUAUAAUAGGAGCUUUGCAGGAGGGGCACAACAACAACAAGGAAGAGCGAGUUGAGCUUCUGCAGCUGGUAGGUGUUCUAUACCUACACUUUUUACGUAGCGUUAAUUUACGAACUUAUUAAAUUCUUGGUCUUUGCGUCUAUGGGUGAAACCACAAAGAGAGAGGAUAAAGUGAAAUAAAAGAGAAAUUAAAAAUGGAUUUGAGUACUUGAAUGGGUUAAGAAUAUGAAUUACACUAAUAGAUUUCGUUGAUGAUCAUUCCUCGAACUUGAUUAGCCGGUCCCGAAUGCGGAGGCUAAUGAUGUUAGUAAGGUUUACUAACAUCGGGCUUAAAUGUUGACAAAUGGUUGAUUAGCUUCGGUUAAUGGCAUCCGAAUGGAUGACCGGGAUGAAGGACUGAUUAGCUUCGGCUAAUGGCAUCCGAAUGGAUGGCCGGGACAACGAAUGAUUAGCUUCGGCUGAUGGCAUCCGAAUGGAUGGCUGGGACAACGAAUGAUUAGCUUCGGCUAAUGGCAUCCGGAUGGAUGGCCAGGACAAAUGAAUGAUUAGCUUUGGCUAAUGACAUCCGAAGUGGAUGACCGGGGUGAGUGAAAGGUUAAUGAUAUUGACCAGUGCUGUCAAUAUCGACAAUCACACGAAACUUGAUUAGUCGGUCCAGAAUGCGGAGGCUAAUGAUGUUGGUAAGGUUUACUAACAUCGGCAUAAUCAUCCCUGAAAACGAGGGAUACUGAACUUGAUUAACUAUUUGGGUGAGAAUAGUUAAUGAUAUUGACCGGUGCUGUCCAUAUCGGCAAUCACAUGAAACUUGACUAGUUAUUCCUAAAGUGAAAGCUAAUGAUGUCAAGAAUCUUGACAUCAACAUUUCUGGAAAUAUUCCAAGAUAUUAUGGAAAGAAAAAUUUGAUUGGCUAUUUCAUGUUAGAAAUAGUCGAUAACAUCAAUCAAUGGUAUUAAUUUUGACGUUUAUAAUGAACUUGAUUAGCCGAUCCUAAUAUGAGAGACUAAUAACACUAAUGAAAAUUUAUUAGUAUCAGCAUUCCCUUCCAAGGUUUAGGGGAGAGGUAAUAAUUAAAAAUAUUAAUGAAAUGGGGAUUGAUAUCUUGAUAGGAUUAUUCAUUCGUCCUUGAAGAGGCGGAUAUUGAUUGGAAAUUAUGGAAUAAGAUGGGCGGAAGAACUAGUUACCCGGUGAUGGGCUAGUGGCAUUAGUUUUGUUUUCUAAUGACCGAAAUAUACAACUUGAGUUAAACUUACUUGUGUGGUGUUAAUAGUGUCAGGAUGACUGACUUGUCAGAUUAUAAAUGGAAUGUUGGAUGAUACCUAAUUGUUAAACAAAAAUGGUAAUUUGUGUUUAUGUCAUGGAUUAUUGAAGAAAAAAAAAAGAGAAAUUGAUGAGGAUCUAAUUCUUGUGAAGGAUGGAGGCAAAUAUCGUAUCGCUUGGGACGUGAGAGUAGAAGUUCAUUAACCAUGGUAGGUGUUAUACAUUUAAGGAAUGCAAUGCUAUAUAUAUAUAUAUAUAUGAUGUAUUUUGAAUUAAUUAAGGAAUUGUAAUUGAUAUAAUUUGAGAAUCAUGUCCUGCGCACAUGGAGGAUGUCAAAGAAAUUAUGACCAAUAAUGUAAAUAUGUUGUAUUAAGGUUUCAUGUUGUUGCUGGCAUGAUAAGAAUUUGGUGAUAAUUAUAAUAGUGUAAUAAAAUGCCAAUAAUAGUCAUUUUAUUUGAAGAUGGAUCGGAUGUGAAUAUUGUGAAAAUGAUGGCAGGUUCCAUGAUAAUGAGAGAUUUUACUGAAAAUCUAAAGAAACAUUGGAAUGUGUUGAAAUAAGCACAAGAAAUAUGUAAGUGAAAUAUAUUUAUAAACUAAAAUUGGACCGAAAUCAUGAUGAGUUUGACAACUUAUAUGGAAAAGCCAUAAUGGGUAUAAUAGAUGUUGGGAUUGAAAUUGAUAUAAAGAGAUAGAGUAAGAGGAAGAGAAAUCACAUGGUAGAUAUUAUAAUGAAUUAAAUGCGUUCAUGAGGUGAAAAAAGACACAAAAUGAAAAUGUUGAAUUAUUAUAAUGAAUUAAAUGCGCUCAUGAGGAGAAACAAGACACAAAAUGAAAAUGUUGAAUGAUUCUAGGAAGGAUGGAUAGAGACGUAAUAAUGGAAGGAUAAAUGAGAAUUUCAAGGAACUAUGAUUGCAUAUCGUUGAAUAUAUGUUUAAUUUCGUGCAUGUAUUGUGUGAUUUUCCUUUUAUGCUAUAUUUAUUAUAUACAUUAUGAAAUUGCAGGUCCUUCAGAUUCACGCCAGGAGUAGCGUUUUAGGUCCUCUAGUUUCCUUUUGCAUGAUUGAAUAAAAAGAUGAACAUUAAUGUAUUUUGUCAUUAAGGAACUAAAUGACUUAAUAUGUAAUAAUACUCUUUCUACAUUAAAUGUCGGG
rnacentral:lncRNA from 1 species